rnacentral:rRNA from 1 species
AGUGAACGCUGGCGGUAGGCCUAACACAUGCAAGUCGAACGGCAGCACAGUAAGAGCUUGCUCUUACGGGUGGCGAGUGGCGGGCGGGUGAGGAAUACAUCGGAAUCUACUUUUUCGUGGGGGAUAACGUAGGGAAACUUACGCUAAUACCGCAUACGACCUACGGGUGAAAGCAGGGGAUCUUCGGACCUUGCGCGAUUGAAUGAGCCGAUGUCGGAUUAGCUAGUUGGCGGGGUAAAGGCCCACCAAGGCGACGAUCCGUAGCUGGUCUGAGAGGAUGAUCAGCCACACUGGAACUGAGACACGGUCCAGACUCCUACGGGAGGCAGCAGUGGGGAAUAUUGGACAAUGGGCGCAAGCCUGAUCCAGCCAUACCGCGUGGGUGAAGAAGGCCUUCGGGUUGUAAAGCCCUUUUGUUGGGAAAGAAAGGCAGCAGGUUAAUACCCCGCUGUUCUGACGGUACCCAAAGAAUAAGCACCGGCUAACUUCGUG